rnacentral:tRNA from 1 species
UGGGAUGUAGCUCAGUGGUAGAGCACUUACCUGGCAUGCAAGGGAUUUGGUUCCCCCAUAUUGUAAAAAUGUUAAUUAAUUAAUUGAUUAAUUAAGAUUAUGAUAUGAGGCUGGGGUGUAGUUCAGCAGUACAAUGUAUUCCUAGCAUGUAUGAGGUCCUGAGUUUGAUCCCUAGCACCCAAA